GAUGAACGCUGACAGAAUGCUUAACACAUGCAAGUCUUUGGUGAAGCUGUGCUUGCACAGCCUAGCCAAGGCGGACGGGUGAGUAACGCGUAAGGAACUUGCCCUGCAGUCAGGGAUAACAGACGGAAACGACUGAUAAGACCUGGUAAAGUCAGGCGGACUCAUGUCCAGCCUGAUGAAAAGAGAUGCUGCAGGAGAGCCUUGCGUCCUAUUAGCUUGUUGGUGGGGUAACGGCCCACCAAGGCAAUGAUAGGUAGCCGGCCUGAGAGGGUGGACGGCCACAAGGGGACGAGGAUCCGGCCUUAAUCCCACCGGGAGGAGGCAGUGGGGAAAAUUGGACAAUGGGGCAACCCUGAUCCAGCAAUUCUGUGUGCACGAUGAAGGUUUUCGGAUUGUAAAGUGCUUUCAGCAGGGAAGAAAAAAAUGACGGUACCUGCAGAAGAAGCGACGGCUAAAUACGUG
rnacentral:rRNA from 1 species